CCUCAAGUGGCAUCUGUACCAAUGUGUGAAUGAGCUCUCUCCUCUACUCUGACGUGUCGCUGCACCUGUCAGCAGGCAAGACAAUGUCAACAGAUGCCAAGGCUACAAAACCAUCAGCCCUUUGAUUGAACUGACAGUUUUGGGAUUGAAUGGCAAGCUCAGAAGCAGAGAAGAGAAGGAUGCCUCCAUGAAAUAAGCUGUCAAAAUGUGAGCAGAGCCUUCGGUGCAGAUUGUUGGAUGUGAAUUGAUCUGAACCCUCC